UACGAGGGGUGCAAGCGUUGCUCGGAAUUAUUGGGCGUAAAGGGUAGGUAGGUGGUCUCGUUUGUCUGGGGUGAAAGCCUUGAGCUUAACUCAAGAAGUGCCCUAGAAACGGCGAGACUGGAGUCUUGGAGAGGGUCGUGGAAUUCCCGGUGUAGCGGUGAAAUGCGUAGAGAUCGGGAGGAACACCAGAGGCGAAGGCGGCCUUCUGGACCAAUACUGACGCUCAUGCACGAAAGCGUGGGGAGCAAACAGG
rnacentral:rRNA from 1 species